UGGAGAGUUUGAUCCUGGCUCAGAGUGAACGUUGGCGGCGUGCUUAACACAUGCAAGUCGAACGAUGAUUAAGAGCUUGCUCUUAUGAUUAGUGGCGCACGGGUGAGUAAUGUAUAGCUAACGUGCCCCAUAGAGGGGGAUAACAGUUGGAAACGACUGCUAAUACCCCAUACUCCUUCUUCCUAUAAGGGAAGUCGGGAAAGUUUUUUCGCUAUGGGAUCGGGCUAUAUGAUAUCAGCUUGUUGGUGAGGUAACGGCUCACCAAGGCUAUGACAUCUAACUGGUCUGAGAGGAUGAUCAGUCACACUGGAACUGAGACACGGUCCAGACUCCUACGGGAGGCAGCAGUGGGGAAUAUUACACAAUGGGCGAAAGCCUGAUGUAGCAACGCCGCGUGGAGGAUGACACAUUUCGGUGCGUAAACUCCUUUUAUACAGGAAGAUAAUGACGGUACUGUAUGAAUAAGCUCCGGCUAACUCC
rnacentral:rRNA from 1 species